CAACAGGAGCCUACACCAGCAGAGGAAUGACCCGUGGUUUGUAUGAUUUCAUCACUGUCCCUUGUUUCAUCAUCUCUGAACGUAGAGGAUGGAUGACAUCUCAAAGUGACGGUGACAAGGCUCCACUGCCCACUGCACUGACUGUUCCUUUCCCCACCCCCCUCCCAGUCACCCUCCCUGGAUCCCAGUCUGGGGUGGAGGUGGAGAGGAAGAGCCAAGGCCACCUCACAGGUCACUGGGCAAAUGCUCGACUGCAUUCUGGGGGGAGUCCAAGUCGGAAAAGAGUUCCUGAAGAAGAAAUUUCCACAGCCCUUCCCCCAAGGAGGGAUUUUUCCAUUCUGCCUAGGCAGACAUGCCUCUCAGAGUCCCCAGAGUCUGGCUGUGGCAAGCCUUAGGUCUUGUUGAAUAGCUUAGUCCCCAGCACUGGAGGGGGUGGAGGAGAGGGGCGAGCUUGUAGGAGAGGCAGCACUGACCUAGAAAUGGGAAAAGCGUGGGGAGGGGAGGGUGCCUGGAGGAUGUAGAGCAAAAUAUUCACUCUUGUAGAAGAAUCCCAGCCAGAGAUCAACAGGGAUAGCAAGCAUGAGGGAAGCUUCCUAGAAGAGGGCAGGGAGGAAAGGAAGAGAGAGAUCAGGCCGGCAGCUGCAAGUGCAGAAUGGAAGAGAGGAGGAACCAUAUGGAGCUGUUUGUCAAGGCUUCCAUGAAUGUGAGGACCGUACUGGAUGCAAAGAUUAUGAUGAGGCGGAAGGUGGACUGUGAAGGACGUGCAGCCAGUGCAGGGGCUGACUGUGUAGCUCCCGCACCUCUCCCUCAGAGCAGCACCUGGCUGGCUCCUGAACCCUCAGCAAUGGCUGCUCUUCCCACUGGAGAUUGGGAGUAUCCUGAGAGUCGGGACAUUAUUAUGCUUGUUCUCCACCAAAUCCCCAGAGCCCCUCACAGGGCAGGCUGGAGAGAUGCUGCUGAGAUCCGCUGAACUGCACUUUGGAGUGUCCUGUGCAUGCUGGCCACAUAGAGCUGAAAUCUCAGACCCCUCAACGUCAUUGAAGACCAUCACUAAUGGUGGUCAGCUGGGACUGAUUUUCAUCAAUAUCACGUAUAUCCUCAUUCCAUGGUUCACUGAGCCCUUACUGUAUCCCAGGCUCCUGAGGAAGGCCAGGAGGACAGAGAGAAGGAAAACAGUGUCUUCCUGACUGACUCUACAGUGCCAGGAUGGGGGUUCUGGAGGGAAAGAACAGAGUGUUUUGGGCAGUGACCAGGGCCCCUGCUUGGACCCAGUUUUGUGAAAAGUCAUCUCUACAAAGGUGACAUUAAAAUGGCAAUCUCUGCAAGGAGCUAUUUGUUCGAGGCAUGUAUGGAAAAGCAUUCUGUGCAAAGGAUCAGCACGAGCAAAGGCUGGAGACUACUUAAUGCUGCAAGAGUGUGAGGCAGUGGUGAGGCUAGGCAGGCAAGGAGAGUGGCGAAUAUAUGCAGGACUUUGAGCUGGAUUCUUUGGGUGACCUGGACACAAUCCUAUCCAGGGUGUUAAGCCAGAGCUCUAGGCUGAGGGGUUAGAUGAUAAAGGCCUAGCAUGCAUAAGGUCCUGGGUUCAAUCCCCAGCAUUGGGGAGCCUCAGUGACUAACCUGUGCCUCUGAGCCUUACUGUGAACUUAACAGAUAUGCUGCCCAGAGAGGUCAAGGGAUUUACCCAAGUGAAACAGCAAAGCCACAUCAAAGGCGAGAUCCCACACCAAAUGUCAGCCUGUGAGCCCUAAACCUAGCCUAGGCUCUGGAAGCCACUAAAGGAGGAGUUUGAGGACACCCAUUCAAACAAGAAUCUGUGGAGCGUCUCAGCUCGC
ensembl:lncRNA